rnacentral:rRNA from 1 species
CCUACGGGGGUCAGCAGUGGGGAAUAUUGGACAAUGGGCGAAAGCCUGAUCCAGCCAUGCCGCGUGUGUGAAGAAGGCCUUCGGGUUGUAAAGCACUUUCAGUGGGGAAGAAAGCCUUGGGGCUAAUACCCUCGAGGAAGGACAUCACCCACAGAAGAAGCACCGGCUAACUCCGUGCCAGCAGCCGCGGUAAUACGGAGGGUGCGAGCGUUAAUCGGAAUUACUGGGCGUAAAGCGCGCGUAGGCGGUCUGAUAAGCCGGUUGUGAAAGCCCCGGGCUCAACCUGGGAACGGCAUCCGGAACUGUCAGGCUAGAGUGCAGGAGAGGAAGGUAGAAUUCCCGGUGUAGCGGUGAAAUGCGUAGAGAUCGGGAGGAAUACCAGUGGCGAAGGCGGCCUUCUGGACUGACACUGACGCUGAGGUGCGAAAGCGUGGGUAGCAAACAGGAUUAGAUACCCCAGUAGUC